rnacentral:rRNA from 1 species
UACAGAGGGGGCAAGCGUUGUUCGGAAUUACUGGGCGUAAAGGGCGCGUAGGCGGCCUGUUAAGUCGAACGUGAAAUCCCCGGGCUCAACCCGGGAACUGCGUCCGAUACUGGCAGGCUUGAAUCCGGGAGAGGGAUGCGGAAUUCCAGGUGUAGCGGUGAAAUGCGUAGAUAUCUGGAGGAACACCAACGGCGAAAGCAGGUUACUGGCCCUAUACUGACAUUGAGCUGCGAAAGCUAGGGGAGCAAACAGG